rnacentral:rRNA from 1 species
UACGAAGGGGGCUAGCGUUGCUCGGAAUCACUGGGCGUAAAGGGUGCGUAGGCGGGUCUUUAAGUCAGGGGUGAAAUCCUGGAGCUCAACUCCAGAACUGCCUUUGAUACUGAAGAUCUUGAGUCCGGGAGAGGUGAGUGGAACUGCGAGUGUAGAGGUGAAAUUCGUAGAUAUUCGCAAGAACACCAGUGGCGAAGGCGGCUCACUGGCCCGAUACUGACGCUGAGGCACGAAAGCGUGGGGAGCAAAGCAG